rnacentral:rRNA from 1 species
GAUCAAGUGUCAAAAGGGCGUUCGAGGGAUGCCUUGGCAGAUACAGGCGAUGAAGGACGUGGCAUGCUGCGAAAAGCUCCGGGGAGGCGCAAGCACCCUUUGAUCCGGAGAUGUCCGAAUGGGGAAACCCACCUUUGACUUCUUAUUCAUUGCCGCCGCUUGGCGGCAGUAAUGACUAAGAGGUCUGAAAGGGAUCUUUUACCUGAAUACAUAGGGUUUAAGAGGCGAACUCGGAGAACUGAAACAUCUCAGUACCCGAAGGAAAGGAAAUCAACAGAGACUCCCCUAGUAGUGGCGAGCGAACGGGGACCAGGCCUAGCUUUGAAAUAACUGGAAGCGAUUGGAAAACGCGCCAUAGAGGGUGAUAGCCCCGUACAGGUUAAAUGAAGAGCUGUUAGAGUAGGGCGGGACACGUGAAAUCCUGUCUGAACAUGGGGGGACCAUCCUCCAAGCCUAAGUACUCGUAUCUGACCGAUAGUGAACAAGUACCGUGAGGGAAAGGUGAAAAGCACCCCUAUAAGGGGAGUGAAACAGAACCUGAAAUCGGACGCCUACAAGCAGUCGGAGCAUCUUUGGAUGUGACGGCGUACCUUUUGUAUAAUGGGUCAGCGACUUAGUCUCUCUAGCAGCUUAAGCCGAUAGGUGUAGGCACAGCGAAAGCGAGUCUUAAUAGGGCGUUCGUUAGAGGGAUUAGACCCGAAACCCGGUGAUCUAGAUAUGAGCAGGCUGAAGGUGAGGUAACACUCACUGAAGGGCCGAACCCACACCUGUUGAAAAAGGUCGGGAUGACUUGUGUCUAGGGGUGAAAGGCCAAUCAAACCGGGAGAUAGCUGGUUCUCCGCGAAAUCUAUUUAGGUAGAGCGUCUGGUAUUACCCUCGGGGGUAGAGCACUGGAUGGGCUAUGGGGGCUCACCGCCUUACUGAUCCUAACCAAACUCCGAAUACCGAGGAGUAGAGCCAGGCAGACACACUGCGAAUGCUAACGUCCGUAGUGGAGAGGGAAACAACCCUGAUCGACAGCUAAGGUCCCUAAGUCAUAGCUAAGUGGGAAAGCAUGUAGGAAUCCCAAAACAACCAGGAGGUUGGCUUAGAAGCAGCCAUCCUUUAAAGAAAGCGUAACAGCUCACUGGUCUAAAUAAGGGUUCCCGCGGCGAAAAUGUAACGGGUCUUAAGCUAUGCACCGAAGCUUCGAGCUGAAAAGCGGUAGCGGAGCGUUCUGUGAGCAGGUAACUACCUGCAUUCACUUGGGCGCUCUUCAUGAAUGGUGCGAAACAUCAUCUCUAUUAUUGGUGUUUUGUUCCGGUCGACGAAAGAGCGACCAGUUGAAUGUAGGUAGUCACCUUCUGUGAAGCCGGCGCGUGAGCGAUCCGGUGGAGAGAUCAGAAGCGAGAAUGCUGACACGAGUAGCGAUAAGGAGUGUGAGAGACACUCCCGCCGAAAGUCCAAGGGUUCCUGCGUAAAGCUAAUCUGCGCAGGGUGAGCCGGUCCCUAAGGCGAGGCCGAGAGGCGUAGUCGAUGGGAAUCAGGUUAAUAUUCCUGAGCCGGAUGGAUGUGUGACGGAUCUGAGAGCUCGUCGUCCUUAUUGGAUUGGGCGGCGUUGGUAAGGGUCCCUGGAAAUAGCCUCCAUCAUAUACGACCGUACCCUAAACCGACACAGGUGGACUGGUAGAGCAUACCAAGGCGCUUGAGAGAACUGCGUUGAAGGAACUCGGCAAAUUACUCCCGUAAGUUCGCGAGAAGGGAGCCUCAUCACGCAGAUGAGGGGCACAGACCAGGGGGUGGCGACUGUUUACUAAAAACAUAGGGCUCUGCGAAGUCGAAAGACGACGUAUAGGGUCUGACGCCUGCCCGGUGCCGGAAGGUUAAGAGGAGGUGUGCAAGCACCGAAUUGAAGCCCCGGUAAACGGCGGCCGUAACUAUAACGGUCCUAAGGUAGCGAAAUUCCUUGUCGGGUAAGUUCCGACCUGCACGAAUGGCGUAACGACUUCCCCACUGUCUCCAACGCAGACUCAGCGAAACUGAAUUCUCCGUGAAGAUGCGGAGUACCCGCGGUCAGACGGAAAGACCCCGUGCACCUUGACUACAACUUCGCAGUGGCAUGAGCGACAGCAUGUGUAGCAUAGGCGGGAGGCUUUGAAGCAGUAGCGCCAGUUAUUGUGGAGCCACCAUUGAAAUACCGCCCUUGCUUUCGUUUAUGUCUAACCGCGGUCCGUUAUCCGGAUCCGGGACCCUGCGUGGCGGGUAGUUUGACUGGGGCGGUCGCCUCCUAAAUUGUAACGGAGGCGCGCGAAGGUUGGCUCAGAGCGGUCGGAAAUCGCUCGUUGAGUGCAAUGGCAUAAGCCAGCCUGACUGCGAGACUGACAAGUCGAGCAGAGUCGAAAGACGGCCAUAGUGAUCCGGUGGUCCCGCAUGGAAGGGCCAUCGCUCAACGGAUAAAAGGUACGCCGGGGAUAACAGGCUGAUGAUGCCCAAGAGUCCAUAUCGACGGCAUUGUUUGGCACCUCGAUGUCGGCUCAUCGCAUCCUGGGGCUGGAGCAGGUCCCAAGGGUAUGGCUGUUCGCCAUUUAAAGCGGUACGUGAGCUGGGUUUAGAACGUCGUGAGACAGUUCGGUCCCUAUCUGCCGUGGGAGUAGGAAAUUUGAGAGGAGCUGCCCUUAGUACGAGAGGACCGGGGUGGACGUACCUCUGGUGGACCAGUUGUCGCGCCAGCGGCACAGCUGGGUAGCUAUGUACGGAACGGAUAACCGCUGAAAGCAUCUAAGCGGGAAGCCGCCCUCGAUACUAGAUUUCCCUGAGAACCGUGGAAGACCACCACGUUGAUAGGCCAGGUGUGGAAGUGCAGCGAUGCAUGGAGCUGACUGGUACUAAUUGUUCGAUCGGCUUGAUCGUUUCCCAU